UACGUAGGGACCAAGCGUUGUUCGGAUUUACUGGGCGUAAAGGGCGCGUAGGCGGCAAUUCAAGUCAGCUGUGAAAUCUCCGAGCUUAACUCGGAACGGUCAGCUGAUACUGUUUUGCUAGAGUGCAGAAAGGGCAACCGGAAUUCUUGGUGUAGCGGUGAAAUGCGUAGAUAUCAAGAGGAACACCUGAGGCGAAGGCGGGUUGCUAGGCUGACACUGGCGCUGAGGCGCGAAAGCUAGGGUAGCAAACGGG
rnacentral:rRNA from 1 species